rnacentral:rRNA from 1 species
GACGAACGCUGGCGGCGUGCCUAAUACAUGCAAGUAGAACGCUGAAGGAGGAGCUUGCUUCUCUGGAUGAGUUGCGAACGGGUGAGUAACGCGUAGGUAACCUGCCUGGUAGCGGGGGAUAACUAUUGGAAACGAUAGCUAAUACCGCAUAAUAGUAGAUGUUGCAUGACAUUUGCUUAAAAGGUGCAAUUGCAUCACUACCAGAUGGACCUGCGUUGUAUUAGCUAGUUGGUGGGGUAACGGCUCACCAAGGCGACGAUACAUAGCCGACCUGAGAGGGGGAUCGGCCACACUGGGACUGAGACACGGCCCAGACUCCUACGGGAGGCAGCAGUAGGGAAUCUUCGGCAAUGGACGGAAGUCUGACCGAGCAACGCCGCGUGAGUGAAGAAGGUUUUCGGAUCGUAAAGCUCUGUUGUAAGAGAAGAACGAGUGUGAGAGUGGAAAGUUCACACUGUGACGGUAUCUUACCAGAAAGGGACGGCUAACUACGUA